GAUUCUACUCUUUUUUGCUUUGCCAGCCAAACACGUUUGGAGAGUGAGGAAAGGCAUAAUGUCAAUGGCCUUCAGCAGUAUGUCAAGGCUCCUAUACUCAGCCGAUGAGUCCUUCAUCCUUUCUCAGGUAACUGUAACAAAUUUUGAGGUUUUCCUCGAUUCUAAGUUUUUUAUUCUGAAACUGGCGCUUCGGAGUUCCCGCAUUCAUAAGUAAAUUCGACUUUCUUAGCCUGGUUUUCCCCCACGGGAGAAAAGCGUCUCAAGUGUUGCUGCUCAUCACGAAAUCGUAAUUUUCUUUCCGAAGCUGCGGGAUUAGUACGCGGCAUGCGAGAAACAGAAAAUGACGGCAAUUCUACCUCGUCCUUGAUCCCUUGGCAAAACAGCGACACUUGUAGGAGUGAUCACUGGACGCUCCGGAAUUUGCACUGCACAGUUCUCCAACAGAUCGGAGACUUCGAAGUCCUUUCUCUUACCGGGAGGUUGCUCGGGCAUCUCCUGUGUCAUGGAUUUUGAGGACCGAUGCAAUGUGAGAAGCGACGAUUCCGGGAUGGAGCAAGAAGCAUUCACAAUGGCUCGAUCGAUUACAGUGACGCUCUCACCAGUUCGUUUCCGUGCAUCGUUUUCAUCUCCUUUUCGUAAGCGUCCACGAGAAGACAUUGCGAUCCCAAAGGCCGCCUGGGCGCCGUGGAAGCAGCCGCAGCGGCCAUACAUCUGGACGAGGAACCGGCGAUCGAUGGCCCGGGGAGAUUGCCCAGGGAUGUGAUCCUGGUGGGUUGUCUCACGGUUAACGUUGUGCGUCUGCGGUACUACCACGGCACGGUGACCAACGGCGAGAUGGUCCAGCUUGUCCGAGAGCGGAACGCUCCAGAUUGCGCUCCUGGCCGACCACCCGUCGUGCGCACGAUGCAUUACCUAAGGCUUUUUCAAACCAGAGCAUAUUCUUUGGGUCUACUAUUUUCAUAAUGCCUGGAUGACGUGGCGGAUCUCGAGUCAAAAUAUCUUAGAGCCAGCUGCCUUAGUUCUGGAUCUGGGUUGGCCUUUUUAGGGCUCUUAGAUGGGAGGGAUUUCAUGUGGUUGGGAUCCAUCAGUGUCUGGUUCUACAGAACCAUUUUGAUUCUGGAACGACAUGUUUCAUGCCUUCCUGGCGCCAUUCUACUCGUGUUACAUGUCGGCUAGAUACAAGAGGCGUGCAAAGUACGUCUGGGCAUCUGGGUCUCCAUCCAAAGUUUGUUGCGAGUCUCGGCGUGGAUUCUAGCUGCCGAGUGGACGAUUCCCGCUGGGGUUUUUUCGUAUUUGCUGUUUGCCCGCAAACAUGCUUCUCAUGGUGGAGUGGCGCAGAUCCGCAAGAAAGUGCACGGGAGCUUCGCAACCAAGGCCAGUUUCUAAGCUUGUACAUAGAGCUUGGUCGAGGAAAGUCUAAGUUGCUCUCUUUUCUAGACCUACCUAUGAACUUCCAACGAGCACCAAAGCUGAGUAACUUUCCUUCAAAGCUUUCAAAUCUUGUAAACUGUAGCUUAGCCUCUCGCAGAUUGUACAGAUCCUUUUGAAAGUGGAAAACAUUUGCUUCAGGCUCUUUUCUAGAGGACAAGCGUUGCUAAAACUCUUGUGAGAAGCCAUUAAAGUUUCUGGCACUUUAAACUGGCAUACACAACGCAAAGCUUUCGACGAGGCACUCCGGGUUUUGAAGACGUUCAAGACCAACAAAUCCCAAACCGUCAAUUCUUUCAAUCUUCUACUCAUUAUUGAGGCAAUGAUCGGGAAAUAUGUAUUAGUGUUCUCGUCGGUAAGUAUCUCCGCUGCGAAAGACAUUGUGUCCCUAUUGAAAUCGCCGUCGCCAUUAUGUUUUACUGGAGCAUCAUUCUUACUUGAAAAAAUCCGGAUUUCAAGCAGCUUAUUAAUUUCGGCUUGUAAGCACACAAGUUUAUGCCGUUUCUCAUUCUACUAUUGUUCUGGUGAUAUUGCCACUUAAUCUGAGCUUACUUUGGAAACUAUACGUGAAUCUCUACAAACAAACAGUGAGGAAAGGCCAAGUUGCAGUUAUUUCUAGAGCUAAAAAGACUAACCUUCACCUUCUAUGAAGUUCAAACGACGCAACACGCAGCAGCAUUAAGUGCUACCCUCAAAGCUGAGUAAAUCUCUUUAAAACUUUACAAUUUGUAUUUUCCAGCUGUGAGAUUAGUAACUGUAGCUCAGUCUCGCACGCACAGAUUGUGCAGAUCCUUUUGUAACUGGAAAACAUUUUCUUCAAGCUCUUUCCAGAGAACAAGCGUCGGUAAACGAGAAGCCAUUAAAGUUCCUGGCGCUUUAAACCGGAAUGAGAACGCAAAGCUUACUGUUGGAUUCGAUGAGGCAAUCCAAGCUUUAUGCAGUGAUUACAGUUCUUGGAACGAGGCUUUCAACUCGCAAGCAAUCUUCUUCCAUGGGAAGUAAGAGCCUUUUGUCACAUUUUUCAUUCAGGCUUAAUUUUGCAGUCCCACGUUGAUGAACCAAGCAAGUCCUUGUGUAACGAGAGUCGUUCUGGAUAAUUUCGAGUUGCUGCUCAGCCCGUGCAUCUGAAAUCGAGACGCAGUUCGUCAAGUUCGCACUAGACCGCUGCGUAAAAUGGACAGGCAUACAUCGAUCUCGCCACACUGCUUAUCA